GUUUACAUUACUGUAAAUCACUAUGUUUCGGCAAAAGACUUAUUUUGGUGGAAAUCCCAUGGUAUUAAUCAUUUUAAGAAAGCCUUUUCUCUUUGUAACAGUAAUUUUCUAUCAAAGUUUCAUUCAGUUUUAGCUUGAGAUCGUAUUUUCUCUGGUUGGUUUGGUUGGUUGACAGCGUUCGUCCGUACAAAAAUUGAUCGUUUCCGAACGUCAAUCGAGCGAUUUUCGAACGUCGAACACUGGACGUCAACUAAAACGAACCGUCGAACAUUUUCCGAACAAGUUCUUGUUCGUUUCCUUAGAUUUAGUAUAAAUAGGGCUGGAAAUGUUCGACUGCAGUCAGUUUUACAACAGCUUUCUAGCAUACGUUACGGCUAAAGAACAGUAAUUUUACGAAAUUAAAUGGUACUUAAACCAGUUGGACUUUCCAUUUACCUCUUUGGACUAAAGCUAAAACACUACAUAACUGGUCUGCAAUAUCUAGAAUUUGAUACGCAUUUUUGGAAACGUAGAUGAUCUAUUUUAUAAUUAUUUUCGCAUUUAAUACUGGUCACUGACUCAAACAAGAUCUUUAUAUAGAAAAGCCGUAUUAUAAUAUUUAUUAACCAAACUUCGUCUAUUUCUACGGAGGAUUUUGAACGUCAGAAGUGUGCGCCGUUUCGAAGCAUAAAUUAUACGUUCACGAACAUAUUUUUCGUACAUGUUGGAAAUCAUCAAGUCGUAAAGCCAGAUUAUAGGCAUCUAUUAAAAUCAGUAAAGUUGGAA